UGUAAAAGGUAGUGUUUCUUUAGUGUGCAUCACUAUGGUUUAGCAAUAAGGCCAUCAGGAUGUCUCGGAGAAUCACUUAGCGAUCAUCACAUACAAGGAAAAACAGUAACCUGGCAUUUUGCCUGGGCCAGAGUUACAAGAACUGAUUCAUUGGUUUUGGACAGGCAAAUAGGAAGCAGCGUGCAAACUGCCUGGUCUUCAACAACUGGAAAGCGUACAAACGUAUAGGAAAAAAAAAACCCCUUCUUAAAGUGCUUUGGCUCUGCCAUCCAGAAAGCAUACCCCUCCAAGAGGAAGGUCUGUGAUUCAGGGGGAAAAUCCCAUGACAAAGCCUUUAGCCCUAACAAUUGCAUGUAAGAGAGAUUAAGUCAUGGGAAACUCUCGUGAAUGGGGUUGCAGGAAUAAAAAGGAACAUGCAGCAACAUGAAA